GUUGAAACACGGCUUCCCGUACGAUCACGGAAGUUAAGCAACGUCGAGCUUGGUCAGUACUUAGUUGUGUAACUGCUUGAGAAUAAAAGGU